rnacentral:misc_RNA from 1 species
GUGAAUCAUCAAAUUUUUGAACGCAAAUUGCACUCCCUGGUAUUCCGGAGGGUAUGCCUGUUUGAGGGUCGUUAGAAUCAAAAAUCGAUGCUUCGCUCUUUUUGUUAUUGUCAUCGCUUCUGAGUGACGCCGUCUUUCAAGUUUUGAUUCAGGUCAAAUUGGCUUAGAGUGCAUUCAUCCUCUACUAUUUAGGCGUAGUUGAAA